ACGUACGAUCACCGAAGUUAAGCAAUGUCGAGCCAGGUCAGUACGUAAAUGGAUAACCGCUUGGGAAUACCAGGUGCUGUAAG